UACGGGGGGGUAAGCGUUGUUCGGAAUUACUGGGCGUAAAGGGCUCGUAGGCGGCCAACUAAGUCAGACGUGAAAUCCCUCAGCUUAACUGGGGAACUGCGUCUGAUACUGGAUGGCUUGGAUUUGGGAGAGGGAUGCGGAAUUCCAGGUGUAGCGGUGAAAUGCGUAGAUAUCUGGAGGAACACCGGUGGCGAAGGCGGCAUCCUGGACCAAUAUUGACGCUGAGGAGCGAAAGCCAGGGGAGCAAACGGGG
rnacentral:rRNA from 1 species